GGAGGACGGCUCUUGGGUUGUAAACCGCUUUUAUUGGGGAAGAAGUACUGACGGUACCCAAUGAAUCAGCAUCGGCUAACUCCGUGCCAGCAGCCGCGGUAAUACGGAGGAUGCAAGCGUUAUCCGGAAUUAUUGGGCGUAAAGCGUCCGCAGGUGGUUGGGCAAGUCUGCUGUCAAAGCGUGGAGCUUAACUCCAUACCGGCGGUGGAAACUGCACAACUCGAGUGCGGUAGGGGUCGAGGGAAUUCCCAGUGUAGCGGUGAAAUGCGUAGAUAUUGGGAAGAACACCAGCGGCGAAAGCGCUCGACUGGACCGCAACUGACACUCAUGGACGAAAGCUAGGGGAGCGAAAGGGAUUAGAUACCCCUGUAGUCCUAGCUGUAAACGAUGGGUACUAGGUGUUGCCCGUAUCGACCCGGGCAGUGCCGUAGCUAACGCGUUAAGUACCCCGCCUGGGGAGUACGCACGCAAGUGUGAAACUCAAAGGAAUUGACGGGGGCCCGCACAAGCGGUGGAGUAUGUGGUUUAAUUCGAUGCAACGCGAAGAACCUUACCAGGGCUUGACAUGUCCGGAACCUCUGUGAAAGCGGAGGGUGCCUUCGGGAGCCGGAACACAGGUGGUGCAUGGCUGUCGUCAGCUCGUGUCGUGAGAUGUUGGGUUAAGUCCCGCAACGAGCGCAACCCUCGUCGUUAGUUGCCAGCAUUGAGUUGGGCACUCUGGCGAGACUGCCGGUGACAAACCGGAGGAAGGUGGGGAUGACGUCAAGUCAGCAUGCCCCUUACGUCCUGGGCUACACACGUACUACAAUGCGGUGGACAAAGAGCAGCAAGUGGGCGACCACAAGCAAAUCUCGUAAACCACAGCACAGUUCAGAUUGCAGGCUGCAACUCGCCUGCAUGAAGGCGGAAUCGCUAGUAAUCCCAGGUCAGCAUACUGGGGUGAAUACGUUCCCGGGCCUUGUACACACCGCCCGUCACACCAUGGGAGUUGGCCACGCCCGAAGUCGUUACUCCAACCGCAAGGAGGAGGACGCCGAAGGCGGGACCGAUGACUGGGGUGAAGUCGUAACAAGGUAGCCGUACCGGAAGGUGUGGCUGGAUCACCUCCU
rnacentral:rRNA from 1 species